AAUAAAGAAAGAAUUAAGAGCGUCAGGAGCUCGAGGAUGUGUCAUUUUCCUGUAGAACCAAUUUCUUUCUUUCCUUUCUUAAGUCGUGAUCCUUAAUCUCUGGCUCUUUCUUCUUUAAUGUGGGAAUUGAGCCAGAGAUUGAUCACGACUGAAAGGAAAAUGAAAAUUGGUUCAGGAAAAUGAUUCACAAUUAAAUAAAGGAAAGAAAAAAUAAUGUACGGACUAAUUAUUAAAGAAAAGAAAGUAAAGAUCGUCCGUACAAUUAUUUUCUUUCCAUUUAAU
rnacentral:ribozyme from 1 species